GCGGCCCAUAAAUUCAGAUUUUAAGAUUAAAAGAGGCGAGCAGGAGUCAGCUUUCCUUUGACAAACAGGAGUGGUGCUGCCUUCGGCCUCAUGGUGCUUGUGACCCAGGCAGAGGCAAGCAUCCUGGGUAGUCUGGGAUAUCAAAGGAUUCUCAGUGGCUAAAAUAAGAUUCUGCCAUCUCCUCUGCAACCUCUAAGAAAAUAAUCAAGUUCUUAUCAUGCUGGUACUGCACUGCUUGUGUGCACCUCCCUGAAGAGACUUAUCAGAUAUUCUGAGGGAACAAAAAUUAUUUAGCAUUCCGCAGCCUGCUGGGAUCAUGGCUCAGCCUGGUGUUUCUUGCUCAAGAACAAAGAUAUUGUUUCCUUGAUUGGGUGAAGUAGGCCAGAGGUGGGGGACCAGGCAUUGCUGCCCCAGGAGACCUCAGGUAGUGAGGCCUUGGGGCUCAGACCUUAAAGGCCCUUGUGACUUGGCAGUUCUGAUUAUAAGAUUCCUUGUUAGAAGAGGUAAAGGCUGGAAGACCAAGGAUAUGCUGCUUGGGGUGGGGGGUGGGGGGGUUUGGGCUCCGUGUGGCUUCCAGCCAUGAUGGGGUGGGGUACAGGCAGAAACCAGAAAGUGUUCUAGGAGAAGGGGCCUUGGUGGAUCCUGGCUUGCAAGCACCUGGGCAGUGGAUCGUCACAUUCCUCAUCUUUACUAAAAGGAGGCAAGCUGGCAUCUGGGAAAUGCCUCUCCUGCUGGGGAAUCCUUUAUAGGAAGUGAGCUAGGUGUCACAUUACACUUCCUGUGGGGCUUGCAUUUCUUGCUUUAAUUGCCUCUCCUAUCCCUUUUCUGGGCACUUUUGUUUGGCAGCCACUGGGAGUCACAUCCAAGGUUGGAGGGCAUGAGGCCCUCUCCUGGACACCCGUGGCUCCCCCCACCGCCCCAGGGCCAUGGCUUGAUGAGCUGUAUUGAUCUAACUUGCCUGUCUUGUUCUGCCACUAGCUCACGACUGUUCCAAAGGCAGGCAGUGUCUCUUGUUCAACUCUGGGGCUCUGAACUUGGCACUUAGGAGGAAUAUAAUAAGUAAUUUAUCGAAUAAAUAAACAGUCUCUAGCAUAGUGGGUUGAAUAAUAACUGGUACAUUGUCUUGUUUACAAUACAUUUGCUUCCAAGAAAUGCAAAAUAGUGGUCCUUUGCAGCCUAUAGAGAAAUGGGAAUUUUGUGCAGUGGGCAGCUGGGUCUAGGGUUCCAGUAGAACACCUUGUUUUGUUUUCUUAUUAACAGGGAAUAUAUAUUGCCUACCAGUACCAGGCAUUGUGAUUAAUGCCUUUCAAUUAUAGCUAAAUGAAACCUCUUUGCAACUCUGAGCUGUGGUUAUUUCAAUAACCCCCAUUAUUGCAGACGAGGAAACUGAGGCAUGCCCAGAUCAGCCAGUGAGAAUGUGGCAGACUAUGAUUCAAACUCUGCCCUGGGGUUUUAAUCCCCAAAGGAACGCAGUCAGCUCAGUUGGUUAACGAGUCCAACUAGGAACAUGAGGUUGCAGGUUCGAUCCCUGGCCUCGCUCAGUAGGUUAAGGAUCCAGUGUUGCCAUGAGCUGUGGGGUAGGUCACAGAUGCAGCUUGGAUCCUGUGUUGCUGUGGCUGUGGUGUAGGCUGGCAACUGUGGCUCCGAUAGACCCCUGGCCUGGGAACCUCCAUGUGCCGCCAGAGUGGCCCUGGAAAAGGCAAAAAUACAAAAAAAAAAAAAAAAAAAAAAAAGAAAAAAGAAAAUUGCUUAUAAUCUUACUGUCCAUAGAUAAUCAAAGAACUAUUAACAUUCCCUUCUGGUUUUCUCAACAUGUGUGUAUAUAGCAUAUUACAAAUAGCUUAGGAGCCAGAUUGGGUGUAGUUUUGUAUUCCAUCAUUUGAUGAUAAUUUCUUUGUCAUCAAGUAUCACUUAAAAACUUCUUAUCACAUUCCAUCAUAAAUGGCAUAGCCUUUAAAAAAAUUAUGUCAAUAAAAAUGGAAUACAGAGCAAUGAAAGUGAAUAAACUAAAACUCUAAUUAGUUUGGGUGCUCCUGAGAAUGGGCUGGACACAAGCACCUGCACCUGGGUGGAGAUGCCUUUUUGAGGGGAGGUGAUCUCAGGAGGAGGUAGGAAGGAGAGAUGGAGAGUGAGACAGGAAAAGAGGAGAAAGCAAUAUUAAGGUCAGUGCUGCGUAGUGAGAAGUAUACAGACUGCUUCUAGACUUGUCCUCCUGGAGAAGGACAGGAAGCUGGAGACCCACCAGCUUCUCUCCAUCCCAUUCAUGAUGGAGGCCUGAAUUCCUUUGAACUUCCAGGCUGGGUGCCCACACAUGCCGGGUCUGGUGGGGCACAAAGGGAAAAGAAGAGGCAUGUGCUUGAGUAGGUUGGCAGUCCCGGGAGGAGAUCUGAGUUGGGACAGAGCUGCCCACUGUAUCUGUGGCUGAAAUCAGACAUGGGCCAAGGGGAUGGCCAUAGGUGUCAGCAGCCUCUCUGAGCAUGUCACCCUGAAUCAAUUUUACAAUGUUGGGAAGAAAAGGCAAAUUGCAGAAAGAAACAUAUUCUGUCAUACUGUUUAUAAAAAGCUUCAAGUAUGUAAUAGACAUAUAGAUUUGUUCAUGAGAAUGAUCAUCACCAAACCUUGGGUAGUAGUUGCCUGGGGUAGGGGAGGAAAAGUGUGCUGUCAUGAAGGGUUGCACGGGGGUGGGGGUAGGGGUGGGGGGUGGGAUGGGGAGCGGGGUCGGGUUGUGCUUUCGACUCUGUGUAACAUUUUAUUACUUCAGUUGCGUAGUGGUUGUAUUGUUCUCCCUUUCUUUGUGUGUGUGUGUGAGAGAGAAAUAUUUCCCUUUUAUACUUUGAAUGCUGGCACAGUGCAUUGUUGAAAUUGAUCAAGGGGGAGUUCCUUCUAUGGUGCAGUAGGUUAAGAAUCUGACUGCAGUGGCUCUGGUUGUUACAGAGGUGCAGGUUUGGUCCCUGGCCCUGGGAACUUCCAUGGGAAGUAGGGAGUAGCCAGAAAAAGGGGGGGAUUAAAAAAAAAAGAAAUUGAUUAGGGAGGAUCAAUCAAGUUAGGAAUAAAGAUUCCCUAGUUUUAUGUUUUGUUUGUUUUAAAAACAGGCUUGGGCCCAGCUUGUAAAAAAGAAAAUAUAUCAUCCUCAAGAUGUCAGGAUGAUAUUAAGACAAAAGACAUUCACCCUUAGCAGAAUUUCUCCCUCCUUCUCCCCAACUAUAUGUUGAAACUCCUGAGCUAAUAACCUUAGAAUGUAAGGCCCCUGCUGUUAUUUGUGAACCUGGCAGGCUUGGGCUUAUCAAAAGCAGAGAGAACUUUAAUGUUUGCCUUUGGGAGCUUCUAAUAAUGGCUUUUUGUCUAAGGGAAGGAGAUAGUUCUCAAGGAACUACCUCAAGGGUUUGCUGGAAUGUUUGCAUUGUCCUUAAAAGGGGGGUAAAAGUCCAAGGUUAGGGAUGGUUUGACAGUGCAAUGAAUGUUAUGAGAUAGUUGCAUGCAUUCUAAGAACACCUUUGCAUAGUGGCCAAAAUCAAGCCCAUCCAUCUUUUUGGUUUGGUGGUUCCUAUCCAGGGGUGUUAAGGUCUUUGUGUCUCAAGCAGCUGAACAUAUGAGCUCAGAAAUGUUUAAUUUUUUACAAACUGCUUUAUGAGGUAUAACUGACGUACAACAAAUGACACAUUUAAAAGUGUACAAUAUGAAGGUAACAAAAGCAAAAAUGAACAAGUGGGAGUACAUCAAACUGAUAACUUUCUGCACAGCAAAGGAAGCCAUCAACAAAAUGGAAAGGCUACCUACUAAACGGGAACAAAUAUUUAUAAAUUAUAUAUAUGUAUUUAUAUAUAUGAUAAAGGGUUAAUCCAAAAUAUGUGAAGAACUCAUACAAUUCAAAAGCAAAAAACCGCAAACUGAUUAAAAAGCAGCAGAGGGUUUCAGUGGACAUUUUUCCAAAAACAUGCAAAUGGCCCACAUGGAUGUGAAAACAUACUUGUCAUCACCAGUCAGAGAAAUGUGAAUCAAAACUACAAUGAGCUAUCACCUCACACUUGUUAGAGUGGCUCUUCUCUAAAAAAUAAGAAAGAACAAGUGUUGGUGAGGAUGUGGAGAAAAGGGAAACCAUGUAUACUGUUGGUGGGAAUGUAAAUUGGUACAGCCACUGUGUUCUUCACAAAAAUUAAAAAUAGAACUACCAGAGUUCCCGUCGUGGCUCAGUGGUUAACGAACCCAACUAGGAACCAUGAGGUUGCCUGGCAUUGCUCACUGGAUUAAGGAUCCCGCAUUGCUGUGGCCGAGGUGUAGGCCAGCAGCUACAGCUCCGAUUCGACCCCUAGCCUGGGAACCUCCAUAUGCUGAGGGUGUGGCCCUAAAAAGACAAAAAAAAAAAAAAAAAAAAAAAAAAAAAAAAGUA
rnacentral:lncRNA from 1 species